rnacentral:rRNA from 1 species
AUGUAUCCACUAGCCUGGGCUGUAGUUGAGAAUGAAACUAAUAUCACAUGGAAGUGGUUUGUUGGGCUGCUCAUUAAGGACUUGGAAAUAAACAAUAAUGGAGCUGGCUGGGUUAUUAUUUCUGAUCAGCAGAAG